UUUCGCCUUAAGAUGAGCCCAUGGCCCAUCAGCUAGUUGGUAGGGUAAAGGCCUACCAAGGCUACGACGGGUCGCUGGUCUGAGAGGACGACCAGCCACACUGGCACUGAGAUACGGGCCAGACUCCUACGGGAGGCAGCAGUGAGGAAUAUUGCGCAAUGGGGGAAACCCUGACGCAGCAACGCCGCGUGUGGGAAGAAGGCCUUCGGGUCGUAAACCACUUUUGCACGGGACGAAAAAGGGAUAUCGAACAAAUAUCCCCGAUGACGGUACCGUGAGAAUAAGCCACGGCUAACUCUGUGCCAGCAGCCGCGGUAAGACAGAGGUGGCAAGCGUUGUUCGGAAUUACUGGGCGUAAAGAGUCUGUAGGUGGUUUGUCAAGUCU
rnacentral:rRNA from 1 species